rnacentral:rRNA from 1 species
UAGGGAAUCUUCCACAAUGGGCGAAAGCCUGAUGGAGCAACGCCGCGUGUGUGAUGAAGGGUUUCGGCUCGUAAAACACUGUUAUAAGAGAAGAAUGACAUUGAGAGUAACUGUUCAAUGUGUGACGGUAUCUUACCAGAAAGGAACGGCUAAAUACGUGCCAG